GAAAAGUACUAAAAAACGGGUUUUCCAUUGUAGCCAAAUUUAAGCGAAAGUUUGCAGGAAAUUGAUUCGUAUGUUUAUAUCAAAACCCAGAGAUAUCCAUAUGAUUAUAUUUAUAUUGUUAAGAACACGCAAGAAAAUUGACCCCUUAAAUUCCCCUAGGCAUUCACCGACCAACUCGACAACCAUCAGAAACGCUCAUCAAAGUUGAUGACAAGAUGAUAAAAAAUGGCGUCCCGUGAAAAUUUUCACUUGAGUGCGUUAGGAGAUUAGCGGUUCCGUAUCGUUUGCAAUUGAUUUUUGUGUGAUUUGGUCCCGCUAUUUGCAUACGUCGAAGAAAGUCAACCGGAGUCAUUGUUUGUAUCUCAUGUACCACCAUGCACUCCUGCUCUAGCAAGCAGUUUUCCAUUCGGAACACGACAACUGAUGCCAAUAUCGAUCCACACAACCGUAUACUUCCCAUCGUCAAGAUCCAGCAGCGUCUAGAAGCCGAUCUAAAAGCCAAACACAACCGGAACUCGCAGAGGGCAUGUGGGAAUUGAGCAGCUCAUUGGAUAACUACAGGCACUGUUGAAUUUACUUCCACGUGACACGGAAGCACCAUUUGCCUUUUUCAGAAAAAAAUAUUUAAAGCUCUUUUCAGUGGAAUGUAUUCAACCGUCUAAGAUGAUUGCGUUUCAUAAGAUCAGCGGGAGAAUAAAAGAGACAACCAGUGCCACGCAACGCUGAUCUGUGCCACCUUAGUAAAGUCUAGCUCAUUGGAGUUAAGUAACCUUCAUUUAAUUCCACCAAUUAUUUCGAUAUCUUAGCAAAUACGUAUUUCGACCACAACUGUGUGGUCGUCUUCAGUGUCUCGUACUUGACUCGACUUACGAUAAUUGUUGGAAUUAAAUAGAGGCUA